rnacentral:sRNA from 1 species
UUGCCGCGAGGUUGAAGUUGUCAUCUACCGACAGCAAUUUGAUUGGAGCUGCCGGAAAUUUGGGAAUGUAUGCCAGCGGAAUUCCGGUAGGCCUUCUCAUCGAUUCUAAGGGACCAAGACCUGGCAUGUUGCUGGGGAUUGUGGCUCUUGGGGCGGGCUAUUUUCCAAUGCACCGAGCAUAUGUUUCCGGCAAAGGGUCGUUCGGAGUUCCGGCACUGUGUUUCUUCAUGCUUCUCACAGGAGUAGGAAGCAGCUGUGGAUUUUCUGGGGCGAUCAAAACGGCUGCAUCCAACUUUCCGGACCAUCGCGGUACAUCAACAUCCUUCCCACUAGCUGCUUUUGGGUUGAGUGCCUUUUUCUUUUCAACCCUCUCGGCAUUCGCCUUCUCAGAUAACACGGGUCAAUUUCUAUUGUUAUUGGCUAUUUGCACGCCGGCUAUCCUGUUCGUGUGCUCCAUCUUUGUCCGACUCAUACCACAUUCUGCUCCAUAUACUCCUCUCCCUUCGGACACAAAUCUACACCCUAGUUCAAGCCAGCUGCACAUUCCAAGCUCGCGAGGCAGUCGUUGUAGAGACUCUACAGAAAUAGGUAUGCCACAUGAAACCUCAAAUUCCACAACCCUUGAAGACGCUGCAUCAGGAUCUGCGGGCUGUUCGAAACCUGCUGCACCCAAGUUAGAUCAGCCUGAAACGUCCUCCUUAAUUGGUCGACAUCUUUCCCCAAGAACCUCCGAGGACUCGUUUCGCGAUGAAGACGCCUCCGUCAGUCCAGGCCGUGACUCACUAUAUGCAGAUGUUCGUGGCUGGUCGAUGAUUCCCACUGUGGAGUUUUGGCAGCUGUUUGUACUUCUAGGGUUGUUUACGGGUAUUGGAUUGAUGACAAUAAACAAUAUUGGGAACAACGCGAAAGCGCUGUGGAAGCACUAUGACGAUAGUGCGGAUUCCGAAUUCAUCCAAAAACAACAGAUGAUGUAUGUAUCUGUCUUAUCGAUACUUAGUUGCGUGGGACGC